UACGGGGGGAGCAAGCGUUGUUCGGAUUUACUGGGCGUAAAGGGCGCGUAGGCGGUCAGCACAAGUCAGUUGUGAAAUCUCCGAGCUUAACUCGGAAAGGUCAACUGAAACUGUGCGACUAGAGUGCGGAAGGGGCAACUGGAAUUCUUGGUGUAGCGGUGAAAUGCGUAGAUAUCGAGAGGAACACCUGCGGCGAAGGCGGGUUGCUGGGCUGACACUGACGCUGAAGCGCGAAAGCUAGGGGAGCGAACGGG
rnacentral:rRNA from 1 species